CAUUCAUCACAGUUUAUUGUUUCUCUGUUCAAAGUCGAAUUUAUCAAAGUUUUUGAGCGAGUAUUUUACUGGAAAGUGUGUCGGAGUCGACUGGAAGUGAUUGCCAAUCGAGAAAAACCUGACAAUGGAGGCGACAGUGAAGAAAAAAGGGAGGAAAAACACACGGGAAGCGAUGCAUUGCCGCUGGCCGUAUUAAUGUCAAGUCUGCCGAAGUGGCGAUGUUUCUGUUCCCAAAAGAUGAAGCAGGGCAAAAGAACACACACGUGAACAAGAGGGGCCCAACCUAGAUAUUGCUAAGUAAACACAAAGUGUCCAGACGUCCUCUGUGAAAUGCUUCAGUUGUGCUUCAUCCACAAUGAGGAAGCUUCCACGUACCUUGGCUCUGUCAGACCAACCGAAGGACUGCACGGUCACAUCGAGACGUUUCAACAACAUUUUCCUUCUCAUUUCAUACUCAUUCACAAGUGCUUGGUUGAUGGCUUCAAUUUUUUCCUGGAAAAGAGAGAAUUGUAAUGUAUUGUUAUAUGUUUCCUUAAAAAACGUUCUGUUUCUUGAUAGUGUUUCGUUAUUCACCACGUGCACAGGUCCAAGGGCUUCUUCAUCAGAGGCUCUCCUACGUGAUGUGGUGGGACUUUACUCAUGGCUUCUUUUCAGCUGGGAAGAUAUAUGGACAUUUCGAUGGUAGAUCAAACAGAAAAUACAACAUAUUAAACCACACUUAGGAUAGCAAUGUGUAAGGCUCAUUGACACAUUGUUGUACAUUUAUUCAAGUACUGUACACAAGUAUAAUUAUGAGGCAUUUUAUACGAGACCUGUGUAUUUUUCAAUGUUAUGCUACUUUAUAUAUUUCUUACUCCACUACAUUUAGAAAGUCAAAAUUGUAUUUUUUACUCCAUUACAUUUAUCUGACUGAUUUAGCUACUUUACAGAUUAAGAUGAUACCUUUGCAAAAAUAAUAACUACACUAAACAAUAAAUAUAAAAUAAUUCAGCAGCAGUAUUACAGUAAUUCAAAUGAGUGCAACCUUUACAGCUGUGAUAGACUAAAGGUGAAAACAAACAUACAGCUCUGGAAAUAAGGAAGAGACCCCUGCAGCAUUAUCGGUUCCUCUGGUUUCAUUAUUUAUAUGUGUUUAAGUCAAAUUAACAUCUUUUUAUUUGAUUCUAUAAGCUACUGAAAACAUGUCCUCUGUGUUGGAAUUCAACAGACACUGGAAUGGAAUGGCUGCCAUACAUGUAGAGAUUGAGAUUCAAGAACAAUUUGGAGCGGUCUCUUCAUUUUUUCAGGCGGCUGUAAUACAGUCAUUUAAUAAACAUAUAUGAUUCUGAAA